rnacentral:rRNA from 1 species
AUGGCGGCUUCGCUAGGACUUACCAGCCAUGAAGCCUGCUGCACGGUCCACCCCACCGGCUCCUCCUUGUACAACUUCCAAGCCGAUGACCCCUUCGUGGCAGCAGCGGACGGUGCCGCGGAGCUGAGCUUCCCGGAGCUCGUGGAAGCCGCUCGGGCCUCCGACUACUCGCCGCUUCCGGCGUUCGGCGUCGCUGGAGGCGAGACGAUGAACAUGUACGGGCGGAGCGUCGUCUUCCCUAUGACGACCUCGUACUACUGCGACGGCGCCGGGAUGUUCGACGGCGACGCUUCGGCGAGGGGGAGAUGGGGAGGGAUCGGUGCUAUGACCGGGCGGCCGUCGGGGAGGAUCGGGUUCCGGACUCGGUCGGAGGUGGAGGUGAUGGACGACGGGUUCCGGUGGAGGAAGUACGGCAAGAAGGCGGUGAAGAGCAGCCCCAACCUGCGGAACUACUACCGGUGCUCCGCCGAGGGGUGCGGGGUGAAGAAGCGGAUCGAGCGCGACCGCGACGACCCGCGCUACGUCCUCACCACCUACGACGGCGUCCACAACCACGUCACCCCCGGCAGCACGUCGUCGAGGGCAGCGCCGGCGUACUCGGCGCCGACGGCGCCCGCUUGGACCUGGAGCGAGCUGCAUGCGGCGGCGCACUCCUCGGAGUCCUACUGA